UAGGGAAUCUUCCGCAAUGGGCGAAAGCCUGACGGAGCAUCGCCGCGUGAGUGAUGAAGGUCUUCGGAUCGUAAAACUCUGUUAUUAGGGAAGAACAAAUGUGUAAGUAACUAUGCACGUCUUGACGGUACCUAAUCAGAAAGCCACGGCUAACUACGUGCCAGCAGCCGCGGUAAUACGUAGGUGGCAAGCGUUAUCCGGAAUUAUUGGGCGUAAAGCGCGCGUAGGCGGUUUUUUAAGUCUGAUGUGAAAGCCCACGGCUCAACCGUGGAGGGUCAUUGGAAACUGGAAAACUUGAGUGCAGAAGAGGAAAGUGGAAUUCCAUGUGUAGCGGUGAAAUGCGCAGAGAUAUGGAGGAACACCAGUGGCGAAGGCGACUUUCUGGUCUGUAACUGACGCUGAUGUGCGAAAGCGUGGGGAUCAAACAGG
rnacentral:rRNA from 1 species